AUUGAACGCUGGCGGCAGGCCUAACACAUGCAAGUCGAACGAGUGGCGGACGGGUGAGUAAUGUCUGGAAACCUGCCUGAUCGAGGGGGAUAACUACUGGAAACGGUAGCUAAUACCGCAUACCAUCAGAUGUGCCCAGAUGGGAUUAUCUAGUUGGUGGGGUAACGGCUCACCAAGGCGACGAUCCCUAGCUGGUCUGAGAGGAUGACCAGCAACACUGGAACCGAGACACGGUCCAGACCCCUACGGGAGGCAGCAGUGGGGAAUAUUGUACAAUGGGCGCAAGCCUGACGCAGCCAUGCCGCGUGUAUGAAGAAGGCCUUCGGUUUGUAAAGUACUGUCAGCGGGGAGGCGUUACCCGCAGAAGAAGCACCGGCUAACUCCGUGCCAGCAGCCGCGGUAAUAC
rnacentral:rRNA from 1 species